GCUUAUGGAGGGGGAUAACGACGGGAAACUGUCGCUAAUACCGCGUAAUGUCUAAGGACUAGAGGGUGGGACUUUCGGGCCACCUGCCAUAAGAUGAGCCCAAGUGGGAUUAGGUAGUUGGUGGGGUAAAGGCCUACCAAGCCGACGAUCUCUAGCUGGUCUGAGAGGAUGACCAGCCACACUGGAACUGAGACACGGUCCAGACUCCUACGGGAGGCAGCAGUGGGGAAUAUUGCACAAUGGGGGGAACCCUGAUGCAGCCAUGCCGCGUGGAUGAAGAAGGCCUUCGGGUUGUAAAGUUCUUUCGGUGAUGAGGAAGGGUGAUGUUUUAAUAGAGCAUUACAUUGACGUUAGUCACAGAAGAAGCACCGGCUAACUCCGUGCCAGCAGCCGCGGUAAUACGGAGGGUGCGAGCGUUAAUCGGAAUGACUGGGCGUAAAGGGCACGCAGGCGGUGACUUAAGUGAGAUGUGAAAGCCCCGAGCUUAACUUGGGAAUUGCAUUUCAUACUGGGUGGCUAGAGUAUUUUAGGGAGGGGUAGAAUUCCACGUGUAGCGGUGAAAUGCGUAGAGAUGUGGAGGAAUACCGAAGGCGAAGGC
rnacentral:rRNA from 1 species